GAUCAUCAUCGAUGGGAGAGUUUCAUCCUAUAACACUGGCCCAUUGGCUUGUGUAGGCCGCGUGGCAUGGCACUGGCAUUGUGCUUCUUUUGUGAAGUCUAAUACUCUGAUGCCUUGAUGGCGGUGUGGUAGUACAUGUGUGACUGCGAACCUGGGAGCACUAGCCUUUAUCUCUGUUCUUAAUUUGUUGUCGAACCUGGGAGCUUUAGCCUUUAUAUCUGUUCUUAAUUUGUUGUCCUGUAACCUUGGGAGCUUUAGCCUUUAUUUAUGUUGGAAUAGCCAAAUUGAACCCUUAUCUUUCGUCUCAGGUUAGUCCUUCAACUCUUGAAAUAGCUAAAUUAUUCCCUCAACU
rnacentral:lncRNA from 1 species